rnacentral:rRNA from 1 species
GACGAACGCUGGCGGCGUGCUUAACACAUGCAAGUCGAACGGAAAGGCCCUGCUUUUGUGGGGUGCUCGAGUGGCGAACGGGUGAGUAACACGUGAGUAACCUGCCCUUGACUUUGGGAUAACUUCAGGAAACUGGGGCUAAUACCGGAUAGGAGCUCCUGCUGCAUGGUGGGGGUUGGAAAGUUUCGGCGGUUGGGGCUGGACUCGCGGCUUAUCAGCUUGUUGGUGGGGUAGUGGCUUACCAAGGCUUUGACGGGUAGCCGGCCUGAGAGGGUGACCGGCCACAUUGGGACUGAGAUACGGCCCAGACUCCUACGGGAGGCAGCAGUGGGGAAUAUUGCACAAUGGGCGGAAGCCUGAUGCAGCAACGCCGCGUGCGGGAUGACGGCCUUCGGGUUGUGAACCGCUUUCGCCUGUGACGAAGCGUGAGUGACGGUAAUGGGUAAAGAAGCACCGGCUAACUACGUG